rnacentral:tRNA from 1 species
UGGGUUAUUGGGAAGGGGCGAUCUGUGGCAAUAGCCCCGCCACCGUGGCUGCGGCGAUCGUCUAUGGUAUUGGACUAGUGGGCGAAGACCAUAUUGCCCUGGGUUCUGAUUUUGAUGGUUCGG